GCCUUGGUAGUGUAGUGGCUUGCAUAGGGGACUGUGGAUCCUCAGGUCCGGGUCCGAUUCCCGGCCAAGGCC
rnacentral:tRNA from 1 species